UGUGUGUGUGUGUGUGUCUGUGUGUGUGUGUGUGCGCGCAUGAAAUGGAAUUGGUCACCAUUCUUUGUUUUUUUGCCCUGUCUUCUAUCUCCUUUUCCAGUCUCUCCAGGUCCUCCAGGGUCUCGCAGGGAUGGUCGAGGACGUUGUCUGUGUCGUUCACAGGAUUAUUUCACAACGCUGUGCUUACCAUUUGAAGGACCCGCCAGUGGAGAUAGACCAGUAACUGGAAUUUCAAGAAAUGAAUGAUUGUGAAAUGCAGUUUUAACACUUAAACACUUAAUAUUUUUAUUUGUAAUUUCGAUGUGUGUAUUUCACUUACCCUGCACAAGUGUAUUUGUCAGUGACGCUAGACUCCCUGGAGACCCUGGAGACUCCAGGCUUCCCGGCCCACAUUGUUUUCCCCCGGAAAACAUGUCUUCAGAUAGCUUGUCUAGUGAUCCAAAAGAAAAAGGAGACGCCAUCAGUGAAGGUCUUCAUGAGGACGAAGGUCCUGUGGGGUAAGUUCUGUCAAGGACAAGGACUGGAAGAUGCGCGGAUGGGAUCCCAUACCAUGUUUACCUAGAAUAUCAGCCACAGCAUUAAAACAAUUAGGUAAACCAUUUAUAGUUAACAUUAGUCAGCUUAGAUACAGUUGUAAUGGAACGCACACACCACAGAUCUGGUAUCAAUAUGGUUGUAAAAUGCAUUGAAUGUCUUGUAUAGUUUAAUUGUGUUUGCGUGUGUGUGUAUACUAAUUGUGUGUGUGCAUAUGUAUGUAUGUGUGUGUGUGUAUAUGUAUAUGUAUGUGUGUGUGUGUAUUUAAUUGAAGUUUUGUUAACCAUGUUAAGACAGUU